rnacentral:rRNA from 1 species
AAGCGUGCGCAGGCGGUUUUGUAAGACAGAUGUGAAAUCCCUGGGCUUAACCUAGGAACUGCGUUUGUGACUGCAAGACUUGAGUGUGGCAGAGGGGGGUGGAAUUCCACGUGUAGCAGUGAAAUGCGUAGAGAUGUGGAGGAACACCGAUGGCGAAGGCAGCCCCCUGGGUUAACACUGACGCUCAUGCACGAAAGCGUGGGUAGCAAACAGGAUUAGAUACCCUGGUAGUCCACGCCCUAAACGAUGCCAACUAGGUGUUGGAGAAGGAGACUUCUUUAGUACCGUAGCUAACGCGUGAAGUUGGCCGCCUGGGGAGUACGGUCGCAAGAUUAAAACUCAAAGGAAUUGACGGGGACCCGCACAAGCGGUGGAUGAUGUGGAUUAAUUCGAUGCAACGCGAAAAACCUUACCUACCCUUGACAUGCCAGGAAUCCUGCAGAGAUGUGGGAGUGCUCGAAAGAGAACCUGGACACAGGUGCUGCAUGGCUGUCGUCAGCUCGUGUUGUGAAAUGUUGGGUUAAGUCCCGCAACGAGCGCAACCCUUAUCCUUUGUUGCCAGCGGUCCGGCCGGGAACUCAAAGGAGACUGCCAGUGAUAAACUGGAGGAAGGUGGGGAUGACGUCAAGUCAUCAUGGCCCUUACGACCAGGGCUACACACGUGCUACAAUGGCGCAUACAAAGAGAAGCGACCUCGCGAGAGCAAGCGGACCUCAUAAAGUGCGUCGUAGUCCGGAUUGGAGUCUGCAACUCGACUCCAUGAAGUCGGAAU